UGUUAUCUUAAUUGUAAAGUAAGAAAGAUUUCAGUGAAAUGGCAAGUGUUUCAUCAGACAGUGUUUCUGUUGACGAAAUCGAAGAUCUACUUACAUGUACAUUGUGUUCAGAGACUUUGAUUGAACCAAGAAGCUUGCCUUGUUUGCAUAAUUUUUGUAAAGCAUGUUUAGGUGAGUAUAUUUUCUUUAGUGAGUCCGCGCUUUCAUAAUUUGUUGUGAACGCGAAAUUUGC